rnacentral:rRNA from 1 species
UACGUAGGGGGCAAGCGUUGUCCGGAAUCAUUGGGCGUAAAGCGCGUGUAGUCGGCUUGGUAAGUCCGCUCUGAAAGCCCGGGGCUCAACCCCGGGAGGCGGGUGGAUACUGUCAAGCUCGAGUCCGGAAGAGGCGAGUGGAAUUCCUGGUGUAGCGGUGAAAUGCGCAGAUAUCAGGAGGAACACCAAUGGCGAAGGCAGCUCGCUGGGACGUGACUGACGCUGAGACGCGAAAGCGUGGGGAGCAAACAGG